rnacentral:rRNA from 1 species
UACGGAGGGUGCAAGCGUUAUCCGGAUUCACUGGGUUUAAAGGGUGCGUAGGUGGGUUGGUAAGUCAGUGGUGAAAUCCCCGAGCUUAACUUGGGAACUGCCAUUGAUACUACCAGUCUUGAAUACAGUGGAGGUAGGCGGAAUGCGUCAUGUAGCGGUGAAAUGCUUAGAUAUGACGCAGAACACCAAUUGCGAAGGCAGCUUGCUACACUGUUAUUGACACUUGAGGCACGAAAGCGUGGGGAUCAAACAGG